UACGAGGGGAGCAAGCGUUGUUCGGAUUUACUGGGCGUAAAGGGCGCGUAGGCGGCCACGACAAGUCACUUGUGAAAUCUCCGGGCUUAACUCGGAACGGUCAAGUGAUACUGUCGGGCUAGAGUACAGAAGGGGCAACUGGAAUUCUCGGUGUAGCGGUGAAAUGCGUAGAUAUUCGGAAGAACACCUGCGGCGAAGGCGGGUUGCUGGGCUGACACUGACGCUGAUGCGCGAAAGCCAGGGGAGCGAACGGG
rnacentral:rRNA from 1 species